rnacentral:lncRNA from 1 species
ACAAAAAUGAAGUGCUAAUUCUUGUGCUCAAACGGGAGGUCAAGUGACUUUCGAGAUUUGUUAACAUAAGGGAUGGAAGAGGUGCAACCGCACUGCAUUUGGUCGGUCGUCAAAGGCGACAUGAUUGUGUUCGCAUUCUAUUGAGCAGUGGGGCUCUUGCGUCUACCCUUACUGGUGGAUAUAGGUGUAAAUUUAAUAUAGUUUUAGCAUUUUGUCGCAUUCAUCAGUUAUAAUGACAGAUAAUCUUUGCAACUACUCGUGGAGUACACCUCUUCGUUUGGCUGCACGGGGUGGUUCUUUGGACUGUGUAUGGGAUUACUUGGGAUGCUAAUCAUCUUCAAAGAGAUUUCUCUGGGUGAGCUAUGGAACUGUCUCCAAAACACAUGCAUCUCCAUCGAAGUUACUUAAAUUAUUGCAUAUAUUGUUUUACUGGUUUUAAGUCUUGCAGUAAAAAUCAAAUGUUGAUAAUUCUCGCCUCUUGUCUAGCUAAUUAGUUUGGACAAAUGGAUAGCUUCACUAGGUGAUUUCAUGUCUCUAUAGAAUUCUUUUGUGAUUAAUAAACCAAUCCAUUUUAUAGUUGAGAUGUUUUAGGUGAAAACGCUUACAGAAUAUGACACCCAACUUGGAGAUGUCUACUUUAGUGUCGGUUUCUCUGUCAUAUGGAAUUAUGGAAACGAUGUUCAAACGCAAUACCACCAAUUUUACCAAACAUCAUUUUUUGUUUGCUCUUAGUUCCAAGGAGCAUACUUGCUAUGUUUAGAGGCUAUACUCAUUUGCGCAAGUAAAUCUAUUGAAGUCUCAAAGAAAUGUGCUCUGAAUGAAACCUCCAUGAUACAAAAGCAAUUUCAAUCUAAUUCAGUGUGGCCCUCAUGUUUGGCAAUUUCAAUUUUAUAGUUUACAACCCAAAUAUAAAUAAAUGAGGGUUUUUACCGCCUAGGUUGCUUAAAUAAAUUUAUAGGAGUGUACUUAAUUAAGAUUUUAUUGGAUUUUUAAAAAUUAUACAUUUUUAAUGAAUUUCAUGAAUUUGAAUAGAUUUUUACAAAAUCCUUAUGAAUCUCAUUAAAAGUGAUAAAAUUUUGAAAGAGUUAUGUUCAUUUUUAUGCUUGAAACCGUCCAAAUCUACUGAACCCCUCUAUUAAUGAAAUCCUUAUAAAUCUACAAGUUAUUUGGGAUACCUAGAGUUUAAUGGAUUUUAAUAGAAUCCAUUAAAAUCUCUAAUGGGGUCACCUGAAUUUAGGCCACGUUUGAUAGGGAUUUUUUGCCCCAAAAAAUUGAUUUUUUGACCGUUAUUUUACUAUUCAAGCCGUAAUUUUUGACUUCUUCUCUCACAUGUGGACCCCACUUUUCUUCUAACGGUCAAAAAAUCAAUUCUCAAAAUCCCUAUCAAACGGGCCCUUACAAUGACUUAAAAAAAUCCACUAAAUUCUGUGUUUAAGGCAUGUCUAUUCCAAUUUAAUAAAGUUCAAGUUUUGGAAUUUAUAUAAAUAUACAUAAAAAUUGAAUUUAAUUUCAAAUUAAAUUCAAGUAUAACCCUGAAUAAGCAGGAAGAUGGAUACCGCCACCUCUACUGAGUAGUUAUUGUGGAUGGUAUAUAUAUCUUCUCUAUUAAUUUCUUUGAUAGUUCUUGUUGCAGGUAAAGAUGGAUACCGCCACCUCUACUGACAUCAAAAGGACCAGAAGAUGAAAAGUAGUCUAAGGACACUUGUGCUGCUGGGAAGAGCAAGGUAUUUUUCCAGUUUUUAAAG